rnacentral:rRNA from 1 species
ACCACACCGAAGCCGCGGAACCCGUAAGGGUUGGUAGAGGAGCAUUCUUAGGGGAGUGAAGCAUUACCGGAAGGGGAUGUGGACUGCUAAGAAGAGAGAAUGCCGGAAUGAGUAGCGAGAGCAAGGUGAGAAUCCUUGCGGCCGAAUAUCCAAGGUUUCCAGAGUAAAGCUGAUCUGCUCUGGGUAAGUCGGGGCCUAAGGAGAGGCAGAGAUGCGUAUCCGAUGGACAGCAGGUUUAAGAUUCCUGCACCCCUUGUUAUCAGAACUGCGGGGACACGGGAAGGGAAGCAGAGCCGGGUAUGGAAAGCCCGGUGCAAGCGAAGUAGUCGCAGGGUUGGAAAAUCCGCCCUGCAUAAGACGAAGGCGUGAUGCGGAGCGAAAUGAAGUAGUGAAGCUGCGGCCCCUUCCUGUCGAGAAAAGCCGCUAUCGUGUAGCAAGGGCCCGUACCGUAAACCGACACAGGUGGAUGAGGAGAGGAUCCUAAGGCCGGCGGGAGAAGUGUUGUUAAGGAACUCGGCAAAAUGACUCCGUAACUUCGGGAGAAGGAGUGCUGCGCAAGCAGCCGCAGAGAAAUGGCCCAAGCAACUGUUUAGCAAAAACACAGGUCUAUGCGAAACCGAAAGGUGAGGUAUAUGGGCUGACGCCUGCCCGGUGCUGGAAGGUUAAGGGGAGAGCUUAGCGCAAGCGAAGGUUUGAACUUAAGCCCCAGUAAACGGCGGCCGUAACAAUAACGGUCCUAAGGUAGCGAAAUUCCUUGUCGGGUAAGUUCCGACCCGCACGAAAGGCGUAAUGAUUUGGGCACUGUCUCAACAACACACCCGGUGAAAUUGAAAUACCAGUGAAGAUGCUGGUUACCCGCGCCAGGACGGAAAGACCCCAUGGAGCUUUACUCCAGCCUGAUACUGGGAUUCGGUAUUGCAUGUACAGGAUAGGUGGGAGGCUAAGAACUCAUGGCGCCAGCCGUGAGGGAGCCGAUGUUGGGAUACCACCCCUGCAGUACUGGGUUUCUAACCUGCGCCCGUGACCCGGGCGGGGGACAAUGUCAGGCGGGGAGUUUGACUGGGGCGGUCGCCUCCGAAAGGGUAUCGGAGGCGCUCAAAGGUCUCCUCAGGAUGGUUGGAAACCAUCCAGAGAGUGCAAAGGCAGAAGGAGGCUUGACUGCGACACCGACGGGUGGAGCAGGUACGAAAGUAGGACUUAGUGAUCCGGUGGCAUAAAGUGGGAUUGCCAUCGCUCAACGGAUAAAAGCUACCCUGGGAUAACAGGCUUAUCACUCCCAAGAGUUCACAUCGACGGAGUGGUUUGGCACCUCGAUGUCGGCUCAUCGCAUCCUGGAGCUGGAGCAGGUUCCAAGGGUUGGGCUGUUCGCCCAUUAAAGCGGUACGCGAGCUGGGUUCAGAACGUCGUGAGACAGUUCGGUCCCUAUCCGGCGCGGGCGCAGGAUAUCUGAGAGGAGCUGUCCUUAGUACGAGAGGACCGGGAUGGACCGUCCGCUGGUGGACCGGUUGUCAUGCCAAUGGCACGGCCGGGUAGCCAAGACGGGAAGGGAUAAACGCUGAAGGCAUCUAAGCGUGAAGCCCCCCUCAAGAUGAGAUAUCCAUACUCGAAAGAGUGAGAGACCCCUUAGAGACGAUGAGGUAGAUAGGGCAGAGAUGGAAGUGCAGCGAUGCAUGGAGUUGACUGUUACUAAUCGGUCGAAAGCUUGAC